GACGAACGCUGGCGGCGUGCCUAACACAUGCAAGUCGAACGGGACUCAGCCCUUCGGGACUGAGUUUAGUGGCGAACGGGUGAGUAACGCGUGAGGAACCUGCCUUUCAGUGGGGGACAACAGUUGGAAACGACUGCUAAUACCGCAUAAUGCUUUCGAGCGGCAUCGCUUGAAAGCCAAAGAUUUAUUGCUGAAAGAUGGCCUCGCGUCUGAUUAGCUAGUUGGUGGGUAACGGCUCACCAAGGCGACGAUCAGUAGCCGGUCUGAGAGGAUGAACGGCCACAUUGGGACUGAGAUACGGCCCAGACUCCUACGGGAGGCAGCAGUGGGGAAUAUUGGGCAAUGGGGAAACCCUGACCCAGCAAGCCGCGUGAAGG
rnacentral:rRNA from 1 species